rnacentral:pre_miRNA from 1 species
GUAGUAACCAGUCAUCAGUGUGUGAUAAUCACGAGCUGGUGAUGAAAACUCAUUCCACAUUCUACAUCGUGAUUAUCACACACUGAUGACGGGUUACA